rnacentral:lncRNA from 1 species
UGUUAAUUUAUCAUCACUCUUUUAACUUGCUGCAAUUGCUCUGUUUUAAUUUUUAGUUGGUAACAUUAAGACAAGAAAAACCAAAAACAUAUUUCCAUUUAGCUUGAUUAGUUUCUUGUAUUCUUGGUGUGUUAUUCUUGUCCUUCCCUGUGGAUUCGAUAAAUUCACCAUACAUGAGCUUUCUCAUCUCCUUCCAAGAGUAAGCUAGAUCCUUGAAGUGAAUACGUGUAGUCUCUAUCUCAUCCCACCAAUCAUAAGCUCCUCCGAUUAAAGCAUCUUCCGCAUAGGAU